rnacentral:misc_RNA from 1 species
AUGCAAAUGGCGGUUGUUAUUGUGGUCGAAAAUUUUAGUGAACGAAUAUUUUUAUAAAACCGUGUGCGAAUGCAUUAAUUAAACAUUGAUGGUAAAAUUUACAGAAAGAUUGUUAUUGUAUUGAGGAUAAAUAUAAUAUAUUGUGAGAAGAUAUGAUUAUGGUAUAAACGACUUGUCGUUUACCAAAGUGAUGCUCGUCCAUUCAUUCGUUAAUACGUCGGUUCUGCCUGCAUUUGUGUCUAAAAUGUUGAUACAAGUUUAUGAGCAUGUCAAAUAUCGGGCAUAGCAAAAACGACAGUGUACUGUCUUUAUAUAAACAAUUAUCCUACUAAAAUGACAAAUAUUUAAAGAUCAAGUGCUAGGUUUAUGAAUAAAUAAAAAAGUAACAAGAUUUGUAAGCAAACAAAUUGUGGGAAAAAUUAUUAACGAGAACGCUUCAUAGUGACACCCCAUGAAAGGCGGCGCCAUUGAUAAAUGGUGGUGUGGCAAUUCCUUAAUAUCUGCUGGAAGACGUAAACCAACGUGGAGGAAGUCAAAAAAUAUAUUCUAAAAAAGUUGCAGUCAUAUAAAAAAAUAUUAUUUCUGUACAUUUUACGCUUGGUGUAAAUAGUAAUACAUUUUUGUAUAUACUUCGAUAUAGAAAAUAAUACAAAUGAGCUAUAAAAACUUUUGGAUGAAAUGUACAUGCUUCUGUAAUGCAAUACGCUGCACCGUUUCCCUAUAUGGGAUAAUGUUUCAUUUUGUUCAAAAACAAAGAAAAUGACACGGCUUGUUUAUAAAUAUAACGGUUAAUUGGAGAUGUAAAUUAACACAAAUGUUGAAAAAUACAAUAAUUUACUGUUUCAAUAGAAAGCCAAAUGCCUAGAAAAAAAUGUGUGAGUAACAGCCAUGCUUUAAGAAAAGCGAACAUUUUCUUAUUCGUUGUAAAGUUUUGUUCAAAGCAGCUACAAUUAAUAUUUGAAGUGAUAUACUCAUAAGUGAAAGGAUUCCGAAUACAUAAAGAAACAAGUUGUACACUUUACCCUUACCAUAAUAGAUGUUAUAUUGCAAUUAUUACUCAAUCUUAAUUUUUAAACCUCCGCCUGGUGUAAUUCUCGUGUAAUGAUAUGCAACUUAAACAGCAGAUUGAAUCUUGCGUGCGGAUAACAGUGCAAAUCCCAAAGGAUGCGGCUCAACGGUUACGCCAGAUGGCAGCGGAGGGCAAUCCAGCCCUCCAUGCUCUCGGUAUUAUGUCUGUGCAGUUGGACGGCGAUUCUGUGAUAUCCAUAAAAUUACCCGGACAGGAGAUAAAUUUAAAAACUAUAGAUAAUGACGAAGAAGUUUUAUCGAGCGGCACGAGUGAGGCGAUGGGCGAUUUUACACAAUUGUUGGAUGUUGGGGGGAGUGCGAUCCAGUGUCUUAGUGAUCAGUUAACAAGUGGAACAUUUUUGCAAUCACAAGUGCAAUGUCGCAUCCCUGUACAAAACACCAAUAAACAAGAACUUCCGUCAACACAAUUGCAGCAAUGUCAGCUGGUGCAGGAUAGACGUAAUAUGCUGCUUGGAGGUCCAAGUACAAGCAAUGCCGCGCAAGCUAUUCUUCAAAAGCAACAACAUCAAACCCCAAACCUGCAGCGACAGUUAAUUCAAGGUCAACCACUAUUUAAACCGCCAAACACAGUUUGUCCUAUGGAUGGAAAAGUCCCGGUACCACCAAUAUCUUCAAAUUUAAAUACCGGGUCAAAUAGUAGGGAUUAUCCAUUCGUUAGUAUGAGGCAAGCUCGUGUUUUACAAGGUCGAGAAAAUGCACUAAAUAGUGUUCUAGUAAAUUCUAAUCAAGCUUUUUCAACAAGUGGUUCACAAUCUUUACAAGCGCCGCAAAAUGGACAAAUGGAACUUACAAGUGGUUUGGUAUCGUGUCCCAAUGUACCAUUAAAAGUUAUAAAAAAUUCUCCCAAUGUAGAUCUUUUGCCUUCAACUUCUGUUUUAGCUGCUAAUAAAUUACAGUUUUUGCAACCUCCACCACCCCCAUACCCAGGCAUGGGUGCAGUAACAUCAAACGUUAUAAACAAACCUAUCGCUCAAAUAAACAAAACAGUUCAAAACUAUUUACAAAAAGGCAUGGGAGGGCCACCAGUGGGAUCUUUUUCAGUAAUUAAUUCUACGACGCCAAAUAAUAAUAUUGCAAUUUCCUCACCCCUGCUUGUGAAUUUAUUACAAAAUGAUGGGAAUACGACGUCAAAUCAAGUAAAAUUGUCAUCACAAACUUCAUUGACUCAACAGCAAUCAUCACCGUUACAAUCCACGAGUCAGCAACAGUUAAAUCAAAGCCAACGUCAACAGUUAUUAAGUUCACCAAUGCAAACGCAAUCAACACCUAACGACAUAGCACUAGACCACAAACAAGUUCAACAACAACAGACACAAUUGUUAUCUUCGGAAAAUACUUUGAUGGGUACAUCUUCAUCAAUUGGGGCGUCUCUAUCUCCCGGCGUAAAUACAAGUAUGCGGAACUUACAUCAACAACAACAGGAGCAAAUUGUGACAAGUCCUGGAAGCAAUUUAUUUGGUCAUCACCAAUUUCAAUCUAACUUUCAGCCGCAGCAUAUUGCAUCUCAACAAACCCAUUUUUUGCGACAACAGCGCCAGCAACAGUUGCAGGGAGCUGUUGUUUCGAUUCCAGGUACUCCUUCGCAACGCCUAAUGCAACAACAACAAUCGUUCCAGCAAUCUCAAAUAAUAAAUAAUAAUCAGGCAUCUCUGCAAAAUGGUGUUGGUGGAAUAAUGUUAACUAAUCUGCACCAUCAGCAAUCACCAAAUAUUCGGCAAGUUCGUCCCGUAGGCAUAAUGACAGGACACGUAGCUGUACAGCAAAAAUCGCAACAAGCACUUCACUUUCUUUCUUCCGGUAAUAUGUCACCUGCGGCGUCGCAUUCACCUGCCUCUAGCCACCAUUCGAUGCAUAGUCCAUUAAUGGGCUCACAUCAACAGCAAAUAUUGUCGCCUUCUACAACACCAGUGCAAUCUCCACACUCUCAUACGCCACAUGCACAUAAGCAUAUUGGUCAACAGCAAUCGCAUCAGUUGCAACUGCAGCAGCAACAUAAUCAAUUACAACAACAGACAGCGAUACCGUCAUCUAACAGUGUUAAUCUUCAUCACAACUCACAAGUACCUUUAGAAUCGCCUAUAUCCGGAACGAGAUGCAGUACUGGUAGCAGUGCUUCUUUGACAAAUACAAUACCUCCACCACCUGAUUAUAAUCAGACGGCUAACGCGACAACAGGCUGGCCUGUGAAUAACAAAAUGAUGGAUUCAGAAACUAAAAGUAGUUUCCAGGAGUUUGCUCGUUACCAAAUGCAAUACAACUUACAGCAGCAACAAAUGAAUACUAAUCACCAAUCGCAGCCAAAUAAAGAAGAUUUGCAAAAACAGCAAUUUAGCACUCAUUCAUCGAGUCCCGUAGGAGAUACAAUUGGAAGAAUGGUGGCAGUAUCUUCGAUGGAUAAUGUUGCAUCCAAUGUAUUAUCAGAUCCUUUAAUAACUUUGUCCGAUUUUGAAGCUUUAACAACAAAUGACCUUGACGCUUUGCUACCAACAUUAAACUGUGAUUUGGAUUCAGCUCUUAGUUUGGAUGAUAAAAAUGAAUUGGAAUCACUUUUGCAAGAUGCAAAAGAUCUCGAUUUGGACCUAAUUGAGGAAAAUUUAUCUGCUGUAGGCGUAGAUAUUGAUGAAACAGCAGCUGCGGCAUCUUCGCUUUUAGAUGCAGAAGCCAGACAUUUGCCACCAAAUGUGACACUUGGCGUUAAUCCAAUACAUUUUGAACAAAAUGGGCAAAUACCGCAAACAAUACAAAAUCAUAUGGGUGAUGACACCAUAGUGGCCACUAAACAAAAUAAGUUGCUAGUGCAGCUAAAUAAUCAAUCACGGGAUCAGGUUAUGCAAAACCGAUAUAAGGCGGAAGAUAACAUGUUUAUGCUAAAUAAUCAAGCUAAUCAGAAACUGCAGUUAACUCAAGAUAUAUCAUCCCAUUCUAUACAAUCAGGGCAACAUUCAAAUUUUCAAGUGGAGUCUGCGCUUCAUCGAAGUAAAGGAAGCGGAGGCACAGAGAAUUCAUCUACUCAUAAACAAUUUCUAAUUAAUCCUCUGACCGGUGAAAUGGAACCAAUGCAAAGUGAUGAUAGCGAAACAGAGGCAGAACAGGAAACUCAGCAAACUAAUUCUAUGUCGAAAAAUCAGCGAGUAGUGUCCUCAGUAAUCGAAAGUUUUAGUUGUAAUCAAUCUGUCGAAGGUUUAUCCAAUUCUCUGAUUUUGGAGGAUGAUUCAAAUUCAUGUGGAACCUCUGUGUCCAAACUUUCAAUCGGUGAGCAAAUAAAUGGAAUUAUUCCUGGAGUAGCAAGUGAUACAGAACGCUCACGUGAUUCGUUACUUUUAAACAAAUCGAAUAGAAGCGUUAAAUAUACUAAACGAGAUGAUACUCAUGUGCUUAACAAAUCAGUGACUUCUCUUAAUAAUAUUACUGAAUUUUGUACAAUUAAAUCACCGAAUGCAUUCUUUACCCCUGGAACGACAUCGUCAGCUACUAGUGGGCUUAAAAAAAAAUCAAAGUCAACAACGCUACGAGAAAAACAGCAAAAUAACUUAAAGGAAAAAAAGCAAGAUGCAAACACCAUUUCUGGAGUGACAAAACCUAAAAGGACAAAAGCAAAUGCCAAAUCGAAGACGUCUGCUGCAUUGUCAUGUACGAAUACAAUACCUUCUACGUUAUCGGAAUCUACAUCCAUAUUGGCAACUCAACGAACAUCAGAAAGCUGUAAUAAUAAUGAGAAAAUAAAAUUACGCUUAAAAUUGGAAAAGAAGGAACCUGUAUCUCCUGCUUAUAAAGUAGAUAUGUCUUUUGUAGCUUCACCAAAACUUCCUGCAAUGGAAACGCCAGUGUCGAGCAAAUUAAACGUACCAACUCAAAGUAAUAAUAGUGUUCUACUUAACAAGAAUAUAAACCAAAAUACCACAGUUUUAUCGGUUUCUACACAACAGCAACAGAAUCUGCUAGAGAAUUCUUCUGUUGUACAAAACCAAUCGAUUGCUUUCACAAAUUUUACGCCACCGCAAAUAGCCGUAAAUGUUAGUCCGAAUUGUUCAAUUGAUGAACCCCGAGUACCCCCAUUACACAUCAGUCUAAGGGGUGGGAAAAACUCAAUUGUCAUUAAAAGUAGUCGAAAAGAUCGUAAGAAACCACAGAGUGUGCCAAAUACGCCUUCAGUUGUAUCGAGUGGAGAUGGUGAAGAUGUUGAUUCUAAACAUAUACCUAAUAAACAGUCGCAAAUGCAGUCAUCGCAAAUGCCAGAUCUGUGUACAGAGAUUAGGACUCAAGAGAAAACACAGCAUUUGUACAUUUCCCAAAGCCCUACAUCAUCAGUCUUUAACUGUAGUGGAAACGGUAACAAUUCCGUGACAAUAAUGACAUCAGCACGUCUGCCGACAUUGCCGAUUUCCAGUGAUGAUCCUUCAUUGUCAGCAACGUCAAUGACAGCGACGUCACUGACAACAUCUUCCUUCUCGGGUAACAAGAAUGGACUCACAAUAAGUGCAAUUAAAUCGCUUGAUACAAAGAGCGUCAGUAGCUUAAAUGACAAUAAAAAUAUAAUAAUUGGUUCGACUAAUGUAGGUACAUUACCGUUUCCACCCCAAUUGAUGCAUCAAUCACAAUAUCAAAAACAUACGUCCCAUAAACUGUCACAAACUUGUAAAGAUCCAUCAAGCUUAUCUGGUAGCAUAAUUAAUACAUUAUCCAAAAAUAAUAUAUUAGCUUGUUCCAGUGAUAAUUCUGUAAAUAUUUCAAAUCGUGUGAUGAAUACAAUGAAUUUAAAGACACCAGCCACAAUUACACCUAUUGGUAUGGGUGGAGGCAAACCACUGACAAAAAAUCACAAACCACCGUCUUACAUAACAGCUGUUCAGCAACUUCAACUUCAAAAGCAUCAACAAAAACAGUUGCAGAAGCAAACAAAAUUUGGAACUCUUAAUGAAAGUCAAUCACCACAGGAAACAAUUGUCGCAGUAGCGACUUUGUUGCCAAGUGCAACAACCCUAAAACGAGUUACAAUACCGAAAUCGUCGGUUGAACAAGAUGAUUUAGUUGUUAAAUCGGAAAGUGUUACUUCUACAGCUGAAAGUCUUGUGAAUACGGAUAUCAAAAUAUCUUCUUCGAAUUUACCAACAACAUUGGCGAAUGCAGUUGUCGGGUUUAAAAAGCAAUCGCAUGAAGCUAUACAAAAUGAAUCUGUUCCAAUUCCUGUAAGCAAUGGAACCGUAAGUGUAAAUAACGUUGGUAUAUCAUGUAAUCAAGGAAAUGUAGUUGGUACUUCACCACCUGCUCUUAUUAAUGUAACGCUCCGCAACUCGCCGGCAAGUAACGGAAGUGGUACCCCUGGUCACGGUAAUGGAAGUGGAACAGGCGAAGACAGUGGUAUUGAGUCUAUGGAUGCGUUAUCAGAAAAAAGCCCUCAUCAACAAUCGUCUUGCAGCCCAACUCAACAGCAGAUAAAUGGUGGUAGUACAAGCAACGAAAAGACAGCAGCAACAUCUAAUGACGUAAAAAAGUCAUUGAAAAGCGAUAUAACGAAAGAAAAAGUAGAUCAUACCAAAAAUAUAAAUGAGGAAAAUAAGCUCGAAUCAAACCCACAAAGAAAAGAUAAUUUGUUGGAUUAUACAGAUGACGAAAUUGAAAAGGCUUUGGCCAGAAUGGAAGGAUUUAAUGAAGAUUAUUUGACAGUUGACCGAAAUGCAUCAACUAUUGUUAGCACAGUUGAUCAAUUGUCUUCUAAAUCAGCUGCAAACACAAAAAACGCCAUCUCUCCUUCCAAAGUCGAAGACACUAUAAAAGGAGCGUUGUUGGAAUAUAUGGCCGAAACUUCAACAGAAAAUACUGAAAAUAAAUUAUCGGGACGAAUAAUUGAAUCCAUUACCGCUAAAGAUAAGAACACUUCUCAAUAUACAGAUGGAAAUAUUGUAUUAGAUAAUAAAUAUAAAUCGGAGAUAAGUCUAGAAAAACCAAUUUGUUCUAGAAAACUUGAUAUCAAGGCCACUGAAAAAUUGACAACAGAUGAAGGAGGCAGGACAAUAUUUGAAGCUAAAAAACAAGGGGAUGCAUCAAAUAUUCAUUCACAACGUUCGGACUCUACUUACCCUCCUAUAUCUAUUGAAAUUCCAACGCAAAGCGAAACGGAAUGUAAUCGAAUUCGCACUCGUGCUAGUAGUCGAUUAGAAAGUCCCUUGGAUAUAAAUAAAUCAAGUCCAACAUCGAAUGAAUCAAAUGCAAAUUUUUGUGUGACUACUAACGAUAAACAACUCAAUACAACGCGAGCGUCUUCAAUUGGUAGUGUCAGCCCACAAUUAAGCGUUACAUUUUCUGGUAGUGAAACUCAGCUUGGUGUAGGAAGUAAGCGUAAGCGCCAAGAAUCUGAUACUAGUGCUAAUAACGCACAUCUAAAUGAAUGUACUGAACAAAAGCGUUUACGGAUAAGCAGUAUAAGUAGCGCUACAAGCAAUGUUGCUGUUGAUGAUAAUGUUAGGAAUAUGAAUGAUUUAUCUUCAGCAAAUGAUGCGCAGGAUGCCUCAAAAAUCAGCUGUAGCAGAAACUGUGAGGAAUCUUCUGACUCUGAUGAACCAUUGAUCGAAGUGGCAGAAAAAGUAAGAAAUUCAAAGGCUGGCAAUGUUGCCGACUUUAACACUAGUGAAGGAGCUAUUCAGGCAACGCUGGUAAAUUUAGCAUCAGGGAAAAUGGAGUUUUGCAAUACAUCCAGCUUGGAAAAAAAUACACGUAAUAGUCGAACAAUAAUACAUCCAAGUAAAACCUCAUUUGCUGUCAACACAAUUGGAAAUGUACAAAGAGAGACUUCUCCUACUAGUCAUAUAAAAUGUGCGACAUCUUCGUUAACAAUUAGAUCAGUAAAAAAUAGCAAUGGUACGAUAAAUACCUCAGCUUCAGGAGAUUCAAAUACGAAUGACAACAAUGUUUCCGUGGGAAUUUCGGCCAUGACUAAUUUGCAUUUCACUCGUGGUAAUACAAAUUCCAACCCUUCAUUUGCUGGUGGGAGUGGAAUAAAUAACAAUAACAACAUUAGUGAGGAGAAAAUUGGAACACGACGUAGUGUUCGUACAAACGCAGGUAUUCAUAAAAAUGUUUAUGGGCGCUCAAAUACUUCCGUUGUGACAUCAACGACGAUGUCUGUCCAAAACACAGAUCAAGCAAAAGCUAUAUUGUCGAAAACAGUCGGUGUACAUGGAAGUGAAAAUAUGGGUUUCGUUGAAGCUCGGAGGAAAACGAGAAGUGCAGUUAUUGGAGAGGCACAGUUAACUGAAGGACGAAGAAGACGAAACUCUCGCGAUUAUAAGUGACCAUUGUCUUGCGCCUCGGCUACAAAUUUAAAUGUAGGCGACGAUGGCGAUAUGGAACUGGGUGAAUUUGGAGUUGAAGAACUCGAAAGCAAAAAUUGCUUUUUAUUGGCCGAGACGCAGGAUGAAUUCUCAAUGUAUGCUUUAGUUGAUGACAGUAAGAAAAAUGUUGACUUCAAAGAUGAAAGUGACCGAAAAAAUUCGUUUGUUACUGAAAAUGCAGAUACAAAUCAAUAUUUAAGCGCUUUUCGUGUUAAUAAGGAAAUCGAUUGUAAAAACUUACCGAAAUCAAUCUCGAGUACAGAGGUUAUUCAAGAAAUAGAAGAUUUAGAAUGCAUGGGACGUGAACAUAUAAUGUUUUAUAACAGCAAAUUGGAUUCAGAAGUUGAAAACGACUUACUCUCCGAAAUUUCCCCUGUGAAUCCAUUAGAUUGUAGUAGCUUUUCGGAUUACAAUGAGUUUAAUUUGUGCUUGAACAAUAUACUAAACUUUGACGGGGAUGAAAAUAUUCAUGAACUGUUAUCACCAAGAGCAAUAAUUUCGGCAGAUAAUCUAGUCCGCUCAGGCGGAGUAGGUUGUUCCUCCAGUACGAAACCUGUAAGAAAUAUCAAAGAUUCCACAGAAGAUUGGGGUCAGCGUCUUAUUCGAAGAAGUCAGGAUCAGCCAAAUAAUAUUUUUGAUAUAAUUCAUUUGAGUGAAGACAUGGACCUACACUCCUACCAAGCCGACCCUCAUGUACAACCACUUACUAUUGGGCUUGAGGGUAGUCUACAUAAUGUAGAAAAAGGAUUGGAAAAAGCUGAAAAUGAUCUAGAAUGACCAAUUACAUAGAAAGGAUUUGAUAAAUACAAGUGUCUCACUCAUUGGCAUAAACAAACAACGCUGUGGCAAUAAAGUCGUUAAAAGUCAUAUAAAUAUUUAUUAUUAUUUAUAACGAUAAUCUUAUUUGAAGCUAGUAAACUCGAUUGUAUGUAUGUACGGACAAUUAGAGUUGUAUGUAAUAAAAUUUUGAAUAAUAAAUUAAAAAAAAAAAAACAUUUAAUUAAAUUGCAGACACACUACUAAAGGAAACAAAAAACAGGUCAUCAUUGAGAUAAAUUGCAGUCAGUUUCAAAAAUUGCAAAACGGAGCCUUUUUAUAAUAUGAAGCAUUUGAAUUUAUCUAUAGGAAUGAAUUUGCUAUUACUGGGAGUAGUAUAUCUAGUCAAGAGGUUUAGAGAAAAUAAAUGCAGAUGAAAAGAUUGUACACUUUAACACCUGUCGAAUUCGUUGAUUAUUAUUCCCCCUGUAUUUUUUUUUUUAAUUUUUUCCAAGCGUUCCCGGUUAACAAUAUAUAAUAAAGUAAAUGACACAUUUUACAACA